rnacentral:rRNA from 1 species
CCCUUAGAUGUUCUGGGCCGCACGCGCGCUACACUGAUGAAUUCAACGAGCACUAACCUGUGCCGAAAGGUUCGGGUAAUCUUGUGAAAUUUCAUCGUGAUGGGGAUUGAUUAUUGCAAUUUUUAAUCAUAAACGAGGAAUGCCUAGUAAGCGUGAGUCAUCAGCUCACGUUGAUUACGUCCCUGCCCUUUGUACACACCGCCCGUCGCUACUACCGAUUGAAUGGCUUAGUGAGGCCUCAGGAUCCGCGCUUAAUGUGUGGAGAAUUUGGACAAACUACGUCAUUUAGAGGAAGUAAAAGUCGUAACA